GCAAAGAAAAUGAUGACGUCUGAGUCCCAAAUGACAAGUCCUCUGGAGUAAGGAAUAGCUCCAAAACCUCAAUUCAGGCUGUGAGGGAAGAACAGUGUGGAAAGACAAGGACUGGAUCCAAAAUGAACAUUUUAUAACUGCUGACGCCCAGUGAGUCCCAGAGGAUAACCGUGAAAGAGCACUGCGUAGGGAGAAAGAAUCCUUCAUAGAGUACCUUAGGCUCAACUUGUGGGCAGGGAGGGGAUUCGUCAUCAAAUUAGUACAUUACAUGCAUUAUCUCAAUCCUCACAACAACCCAGUGAGAGUUACUAUCCCCAUUUUACACCUGUAAAAACUGAGAUUCGGGAAGGUUAAGUAAUUUGCCCAGCUUCAAACAUCCAGAAUACAUUCCCAGGCCUGACUCCAAAGCCUGUAUUCUUACUGUAUCUCAUUGCCUCUCAGAGACUAGGGAACAAGGAAGGGUCCCCCUGUUCCAGGAUGCAGACUCAGCCAAGGAGACUACAAUACCACCUGCAUCUCACUCCAGCUGGAGAAGUGAAAACUCACAGCCAUGAUGUUUGAGCGUCAAGCUCCAUGGGACUCUACAGUUAUUUCAAAAUAAAAAAUUAAUUAAAAGAACGAAAAGAUGGAGGCAAAGUCAGGGAAACAAGUAUGGCCGUUUGUCAGUUACGGCACGGCCUCAGAAUUGACAUCAUGAUGGCCAGUGAUCUGACUGCUACAGAAUCCUCAGCCUUCAUGGAUUUGUUCACUCUGCCAAGUGCUGCAGACAUCCUCAAGUUUCAGUGCCAAGAACUGGAGAAAAUAGGACGUUUAUGUCAAUCAAAGAGCACUUGGAGCUUUCUGGUGGUCAUUCAAGGCUUCACCGCAUCACGUAGCCUUUUAAUAUACUAUUUUUGACCAUCCAAACAGACUGGUGGUCACAGGAGGUGUUUUGUUUUAUUUCCUCAAAGACAUGUGAAUUUUUAACUUCAGCAUUGGUUUCCUGCAAAGCUGCUGGUGUUCAUAAGAUUCAGUGCAGCUGAACACAGAAAGAGACAACAAUUAAAAAGAAACAGCCUCCUGUGAUACCUCUUCUCUGUCAUGCCUCCUCCUUGACGGAGGAUUGUGUUAUGCCCUGAAUCAGUCUGUGCAAAUUAAUCAUCUGAGUUUAGCACCGAGUUUUUCCACUUAGCCAUAAAAAGGGGCGGGGGGACUGAAGUCCCCUUUUACCUCAGUUCAUCUUCAGACUUCAGUUGAAAACUCAUCUUUAGGUUGAUGCUAUAGAAAUCAACACAAAUGGAAUAAAUAGUUGACUAACU